UGGGAACCAAGAGACCGCAAUCGCUACAGUCAGGCUGGCCGCACUAGUAGGCCACAGAGCGUAUAUGUAAAGGGAACUUGUAAUUUUGUUUCUCCAAUGAGAGAUUAAUAAAGUACAUGUUUCCCUAUGUUUAUUUGUGUACUUAGUAGACUGGCACGCCCGCAUUUUUCUUUUCCCCGGCGCAUGAGAGAAAUCCACACUCCUUCUCUUCCCUUCUCACAAAGAGCUUAUAAGGUUUUAGUAGCUCAAGCUUAGUUAAGUUAAGCACUUAGUACUAAACAGCAGCAACACUUGAACCGUGACAUGUCCAGAAAGGAAACAAAACAUGAGACCAGUAUUGAUAGCAUGUCCACGAAGGCCGUCCAAUGGUUUCAGCCACAUCCUAAUAAACCUGCAGCAUUCUUUAGCACCUAAUUAUCAGCAAGAAAUCAAUGGCUAGAUGAGCACCACCACAACAAAUCGGCACUAACACUUGGUCAUCGACGCGAUGCCCAAGCAAGGAACCAGCUCGCACACGCAAGAUGAUGAUUGCAUACAUACAAAUCAUGUGCUGGCAGAAAAAAAUCCAAGCAGGAGCUCAUCUUCUCUCUCUGUUUGGUAACUAACAACCUAAAUAAAAUAAAAUAAAAACAUGACUUGUUCAUACAGGUCCCUCUAAAAUUCCUUGGGACAAAUGCAUCACAUAUUCGUCAACUUAGCAGCAGAAGUAGUGAGCACAUGAAGAGGGGGAGGGAGAUGGAGGAGCUACCUGCCGCGGUCGCAAUGGAAGCAGAGGAGCAGACCCCUCCUGCCCCUCCCCCACGAGCAGGACAGGGUUGCCGGCUGGGCACGCUCCUACUCCUCCGCCUCCUUGAUUAGGAGACCCCCUUCCCCUACUGCUGCUUGGCGCGCCGCAUCACUAGUCACCUCCUCAUGCAAGAAGUACACAAUAAAUAGACAGACGGUCAGUGAGGUACAUUUUCACAGCAACAGAAGCUUAAAAUUAACAGAAAUACAGACAUCAAAUGAAGUCACUAAGAUACUUAAGUCCACCACAUGGUGUAGAAUUCUGUGGUAUAUAAUUGCAACACAUGAACCAAAAGAGGAAUAACAUCAUCACCAAGAGUUUCUGAUGAUAAGCAUAGCUCCCUACAAAAAAGAACUAAGGGCACAGUGACUAAAGCAUGCGGACCACAAUAUUCAAAGCAGAAGCAAGCGGGCAGUAUGAGCUACCUACUGGCAAAGUAUAAAACCUGAAUCGUAUUCGUAUAAAUGAAUCAAGGUGGAUCUAUAGUUUUCAAAUUACUGACCAUUAUAGCUUUCAAACUAUAAGAAGCAAAACAGGGACAUCUCAUCAAUAUUAAACAGGGACAUCUUUUAAAAUCACGCUUUCAAACUAUAAAUAUAGUAGUGCAUAGUACAGAGCAAAACAGGGACAUCUCAUCGCAGCAACAUGAAUAAUUCAGGGCCUACUAUGCAACACAAGGACAUUUCCAUGACACAUAAGAAGUUGAACAUAACACAGAGCAUGGUAAAUGUCAGAGAGCUCAUAUGCUGAACUCAUAAGCAUGUCAAGUCCGCUUGCGGCCUAAACAGGUACCUAGAGGAGGGAGCGGGCAUGCAGACGGGACCUGGAGGGUCAUGGGCGAGCUUGUAUUCCUUGUAAGGAAGUAGCCACCGCUGUCGGCCGCCCUAGUCGACCCGGCCUAGACGCUGCCGAGCGUGUUCUUGCGGCCACUGCACCACCCACAUCCUGAAAAACCAGACACACAACAAAAACAUCAGAUCUGAGUCAUAUAUGCUGCGGACAACCGUGAGAGGAAAAUGGAGGAGUGGAUCUGCGGCCGGCGCUGUCGGGGAAGAAGGUGUCCGACGGCGGCCUUGUUGGGGAGAAGGGAGAGUCGAGGAAGCAUCCAGGCAACAAGGAGGGAUUGGGUCUAGUAGCAGGCAUUGGGGAAGCGGCAAGUCGGAGACGCGGCUGUCUCAGCGCGGUAGAUGUCGGGGAGGAGCCUGUAGAGUCGUCGGAGCCGUGCCGGCAAUGGAGGCGCCGCCGCCCCCAAAACCCUAGAGCCACGGGGAAGGCUGCGGGUGUGCUGCUGCGGGAGGAAGAAGGGGGCGGGUGGCCUAAGGGAGAAGGACCGCCGGG
rnacentral:lncRNA from 1 species